rnacentral:rRNA from 1 species
UACGUAGGGGGCAAGCGUUGUCCGGAUUUAUUGGGCGUAAAGAGCGUGUAGGCGGUCAGGUAGGUCGGUUGUGAAAACUGGAGGCUCAACCUUCAGAGGUCGACCGAAACCCCCUGGCUAGAGUCCGGGAGAGGAGAGUGGAAUUCCAGGUGUAGCGGUGAAAUGCGUAGAUAUCUGGAGGAACACCGGUGGCGAAGGCGGCAUCCUGGACCGGCAUUGACGCUGAGGCGCGAAAGCCAGGGGAGCAAAGCGGG